rnacentral:rRNA from 1 species
AAGUCGAACGGGAAGCUUGGAGCGAUCUAAGCUGAGAGUGGCGCACGGGUGAGUAACACAUGGCUGACCUGCCCUCCAGAGGGGGAUAACGGCUGGAAACGGCCGCUAAUACCCCAUACGCUCCCUGAGGUUAGAGGCUUAGGGAGGAAAGCUAUGGUGCUGGAGGAGGGGGCUGUGGCCCAUCAGCUAGUUGGUAGGGUAAAGGCCUACCAAGGCGACGACGGGUAGGGGGCCUGAGAGGGUGACCCCCCACACUGGGACUGAGACACGGCCCAGACUCCUACGGGAGGCAGCAGUAAGGGAUCUUGCGACAAUGGGCGAAAGCCUGACGCAGCAACGCCGCGUGCGGGAUGACGGCCUUCGGGUUGUAAACCGCUUUUCGAGGGGAAGAGGGAGGACGGUACCCUCGGAAUAAGUCUCGGCUAACUACGUGCCAGCAGCCGCGGUAAAACGUAGGAGGCGAGCGUUAUCCGGAUUUACUGGGUGUAAGGCGCGUGCAGGCGGUCGUGUAAGUGGUGCGUGAAAGCUCCCGGCUCAACCGGGAGAGGACGUGCCAAACUGCAGGGCUAGAGGCAGGUAGAGGCGUGUGGAAUUCCGGGUGUAGUGGUGAAAUGCGUAGAGAUCCGGAGGAACACCAGUGGCGAAGGCGACACGCUGGGCCUGGCCUGACGCUCAGACGCGAAAGCAUGGGGAGCGAACGGGAUUAGAAACCCCGGUAGUCCAUGCUGUAAACGAUGCUGACUAGGUGUUGCGGGUGA